rnacentral:lncRNA from 1 species
ACCAACUUAUACUCUUGUGCCAUUACCUGUAAUGCAAAGAAAACUAAGUGGGCCAGGCUUGGGAGCCUGGUGAGCAUAUAGGGUUUUCAACCCAUAAUAAUAUAAUUAUUAUAUUCAACCAUCAAACAAUCAACUCAAUUACUCAUCCCUAUUAUCUUUCUUAGGAUUUUACCCUAGGAAUUCAACUACUCGUCAUUCAUUCAUUCCUAAGGAUUGACCUAAGGAAUUUACACAAACUUCCAUUGCUACAUAAGGCGCAUCUGCCAACAUUAUCCUUUAAGCGCCUCUGCCAGGAUUACGUCAUACACUAUGAGGCGCGACUGCCAGGUUUAUGACAUUCUCUUUUAGGCGCAUCUGCCGACAUUAUCUUAUAAGCGCAUCUGCCAAGAUUACCCUAUAAGCGCAUCCGCUAUUAUUAUGACAAUCUUUAUUUGGCGCAUCUGCCAACAAUAUCCUAUAAGCGCAUCUGCUAGGAUCACUCUAUAAGCGCAUCUGCUUUUAUUAUGACAAUCUCUAUUUGGCGCAUCUGCCGACAUUAUCCUAUAAGCGCAUCUGCUAGGAUUACGACAUUCACUACUUGGUGCAUCUACCGAUAUUAUUCUACAGCACAUCUGCUAGUCUUAUGACAUUCUUUAAUUGGUGCAUCUACCAAUAUCAUUCUUAAUCAUCUUUCAUACCUCAUCAUUUCAUCACAUACCAACUAUCUCAUCUACCCAUGUUCUACCCAACAUAUUUGUAGAUCUAGAAUACACAUACAGUUUAUCUCAUUUUAAAACUAUAUAAAACAUUCAUGCCAUACUCAUCUCAAAUAAACAACAAUAUAUAAACACAUAGCACGUAUUUUAUACCAAAUACUUCAUAUUUAUGUGUUAGAAGAAAGUAACCAUACACUCUGCCAAACGUACACUUAAUACAUUCAAACAAUACUUGUAUUAUACCCGUGUUUAUGAAAGGGACUAUACAUCCAUCCAUAUAAACAACUUUAUAUUAUCCACGUAGCACGUAUUUCAACGAAAAUACUUAAUAAUUAUGCGUUAGAAGAAAAUAACUACACACUCACACUUAUAAACAACAAUACUCUUAAUACACUCAAACCAAACUCGUAUUAUUAUUGUGUUUAUGAAAGGUAGUAUACACUCACUUGAUCAGAAGAUGAUCGGACAGCACUACGACUUGCAGAAGUAGUAAUCCUCAGCAGAUCUGGAAGAUCUCUUCAAAAAUCGAACUUCUCGCGGGCAGAGCUUCGGCUCGGGAACCGCACUUCUCGGGAUCUUCGGGAUCUCGGGACUUGCUUCGGGGCUUGAGAACAAUACCGGGGCUUCGGGGUAUUUCUGGCACGCAAACCGAUGCAAAAUGGGAGAAAGAAGAGGAGAAAUUGGCAAAACUAUCGGCUGCCUUCGGAUUCCUUUUAUAGAGGCUGAGCCUCGCACGUACGCGGGGCGUACGCCAGUACGCGGGGCGUACUGGUCCGAAAAACGUCACUGCGUUCGUCAUCCGAAGCCACUUGCUGCGAUGUCGACACUUUCGGAGUACGCGGGGCGUACUCGAGUACGCGGCGCGUACCUCGGAUCAGACCGGUGACUCCUUCGGAUAAUGCUUCCGAAUUAAAGAUUAAAAAUAAAUACAAAUUAUUUAAUAAUCUUCGGAAAUUCAUAUCUUCUUCAUACGAACUCCGUUUUCGACGUUCUUUAUAUCCACGCGAAGGUGAGACUACGCUCUACAACUUUCGUUUAGACUCCGUCGGCUAAUUUUGACUUUAUUUUUAUUAAUUAUUUUUAAUAGGCCGCGACAUAAACUUUCGUUAUAAAUUCAUAACUUCUUCGUUUGACGUCCGUUCUCGCCUAACUUUUUAUCGCUUCGAUACCAACAAUGAGAUCUUCGAUUCUCAUUUAGAUUGCUUCGGCUAAAUACCGCUCUAACGUAAAUUCACUUUUUACGUUGCAUUGCGUCGUGCCGGUUCUGUCGCGAAACUUCGACGGGCCAUAACUUCUUCGUUAUAACUCGGAUUUUGGCGUUCUUUAUAUGCACGGAAACCUUGUGACAUAUACUACAACUUGGUUAAGAUUAAUCCUUCUAGAUAAUCUUCCAUCAAAAAGUCAUUUUUGACGCUUAUUGUUUCUAAAUUGACUAGCCCUGAUCUACGGGCGUUACAAUUAUCUCCCCCUUAGGAUGAUUACGUCCCGGAAUCAUCAACGAAAUAGGAUUCGCAUACUGACUCCAUAAGUUAUCUUUCCAUUCUAAGUAAUAACCUUGAUGCUCAAUCCUGCAUCUGCUCUUCGUACUAUCUUGGACUUUCAAUCAUAACCUUCGAGUUACAAAAUAAGUCCUUAUUGCGAACUCUUUCUUCUUCUUAGGAUAAAUAUAUUCCUUUAUCCAAUGUAACAAACCGAUGGGUCGUGCUCUAUCGACCUCUCAUCGCACGAUGCGACGCUUAGACUCGGUCUUUAAUAAAGUUAAAUUCCAGAAUGGAAUAUACCUUCCUUCAUAUUCUAAUGCGAUAUAAUCACAUUUCAGCAUGUAGCAUUUCUGCCUACAAACUUCUUUUAACAACGAGAGCGACACUAUCAAUCGCAUUAACUUCAACCUUCUGACUUAAGUCAGAUGUUACAUCUAACUCGGUCCUCUAGACCACGUACAUACUCCUCGCCGUCGAACUCAAAUUAAACAUGACCACUAGGGUCGGAACAAGAACCAUCUUACUAGUCAUCACCGAAACAAUGGUAAUGACAUACCAGAAUAAAAUGGAAUCAAUCACUAGUUUCUUGGUAACCUUGCGACUUUCCCUGAUCCAAGUGCGAGUCCUGUGCUUCCGGUAGUAUAUGCAUCUACUACCUUUCACACCUACUCAUACUCGUCCCAAGUAUUGCCUCGUAGUCGACCAAGUCACCAUGCAAGAAAAUCAGACAAUCAUUCAACACAUCAGUUAACAAAACUAGGGUUUAUAUUAAUUCCUUGAAACGGUUACACAAAAGUUCAAGUUCACCCUAUACUAUGCCUCUAAUAGGCUACACCACAUGUUACUUUUCAUAUCGCUACUUUAUAACUUGAUCUUUAGAUAUAAGAUCCUUAUUCCUGAUUCCUUGCAUUGCCAUCUGCUUCAUCAAGGAUCAUUUGAAAUGCUCUUGCCUUUAGCUUUGGCGGCGCCUCUAGCCUUGCUGUUUGAUUUUUCCUUGGGCAGUCUUGCUUGAAGUGCCCCUCUUCGUUACAUUCGUAACACACCUUUUUGUUGAAAAUACAUUCAUCGGCGUAAUGCCCAUGCUUUCCACACUUGAAACAUGUCACUUCCACGCCACAUUUUCCUGAGUGCUUCUUCUUGCACUUAUCGCACCACCGUGCCUCAUCCCUUCCUCCUCCUCCAGACUUCGAGGAUUUUCUUUUCUCAUUAGAACCUGAAGUUCCUUCUAACUUUCUCUUCUCACCAACUUCAACCUUACUGUCAGUCCUCCCCUUGAUCAUAUUCUCAACAGACUUGGCAGCCCAAAUAGCUGCCUCUAGAGUAGGUGCCUGACGCACUGGCACCGCAUACUCCCAAGGGAGUCCCUUGGCAUACCGAUCGACUUUUGUCAGUUCGUCUGGAACGAUGCGUAAAGCAAACUCCAUCUUGUCUGUGAAAGCAUUAGUGUAUUCAUCCACUGACAUGCUGCCUUUCUUCAAUAUCAGAAACUUAUUCUCCAACUCCAAUAGAUUUUGAGCAGAGCAGAACUUGCGCUUGAAUUGCACCAAGAACUCUGCCCAGGUCAGUUGCAGUGGCUCAUUAGGACUUAGGAUCUUCCCCAAAGUGUUCCACCAACGAACAGCCCCACCCCUGAACUGACGCACUGCAUAGGUAGUCUGCAACUUGCCUCUGCAGCCACAAGUCAUGAAGGCUAGCUCCAUUUCCGAUAUCCAAUCCAUAACUCCGAUCGGAUCUUCCUUUCCAGUGAAGGUCGAUGGUUUGCAAGUCAGAAAAUCCUUAUACUUGCAUCCCAUUCCAUCGUUCCUUCCAUUCUGGUUGUUUUGCCUAACUAUCGGUGGGUUGGCUUGACCAACAGACCCACUGAAGUUUCCACCUUCCGAGUGCCCUUCAUUUAAUUCAGGCUCUUCCACUCGAAUUGACAGUUCUUCACGAUUCUGCUGAAGCAACCGUCUAGUUUCAUCCAUCUGACGAUCCAACAUCGUCUGAAUCAUCAUUUGCACACCAGCCAUGGUUAUUGGCUCAGGUGCUGCUGCUACGACAGGUAUUUGCUCAAUCACUGGUGGUUGAUUCCUGUUUUCAUCAGCAUUUCCAACUCCACUUCUUGUUCUCACCAUUUUUGAUCUACACACCAAAUAAGGUGAAAUUAUAUCCUCAAUCACGAUAGAUAUUCACAUCGCCCUUAUCACUCCGAAACGUUUACAUGCUAGUUCUAAUAUCGUAGCCAUACGCUUAGAAUCCUAAACACAUAAGGUUUCCAGAUCCGGUCGGCAACAGACCAUAGAUCCAAACAAAUAAUAGCAUCAAUAUAGCUAUCACACAAAACAUUUAGCACAUAAAAGCAUUUUAGGCAUCAUUCCUAAAAUAAACUAGUGCUUGUGUCAAUUUAGGUGUACUACCUAACAUAUUUUAGACACACUCCUCACAAUCAUUACUUAGCAUUCUAAGUUUAAGUCUAGAAAUUUCCUACAAAUUCCUAGUUCGCUUAAACUAAUGCUCUGAUACCAACUGUGACAUCCCCAUUUUCACGGCCAGAAAAGACCGAUUUGUUUAUGCUUUGUUUUAUAAAUCAGAGUGAUCGUUUAAAGAAAACGGUUGCGGAAUUUGUUCCCAAAAUAAAAUAUGAUAACCAUUUAUCAAAACGUUUCUCAAAGAGAAUGUAUUUUCAUUAAAUAAUAAAACCUCGGGAUGUCAUGUUCCGAUACAGACCAAAAGCAUAAACAAUAUAAAAUAGACCUUACAACAGUUAUUCAUAACUACUGGCCUAUAAUCCAAAAUCUCUCGUCAAGUCCACCAACUUAUACUCUUGUGCCAUUACCUGUAAUGCAAAGAAAACUGAGUGGGUCAGGCUUGGGAGCCUGGUGAGCAUAUAGGGUUUUCAACCCACAAUAAUAUAAUUAUUAUAUUCAACCAUCAAACAAUCAACUCAAUUACUCAUCCCUAUUAUCUUUCUUAGGAUUUUACCCUAGGAAUUCAACUACUCGUCAUUCAUUCAUUCCUAAGGAUUGACCUAAGGAAUUUACACAAACUUCCAUUGCUACAUAAGGCGCAUCUGCCAACAUUAUCCUUUAAGCGCCUCUGCCAGGAUUACGUCAUACACUAUGAGGCGCGACUGCCAGGUUUAUGACAUUCUCUUUUAGGCGCAUCUGCCGACAUUAUCUUAUAAGCGCAUCUGCCAAGAUUAUCCUAUAAGCGCAUCUACUAUUGUUAUGACAAUCUCUAUUUGGCGCAUCUGCCAAGAUCACGACAUUCACUACUUGGUGCAUCUACCGAUAUUAUUCUCAAGCGCAUCUGCUAGUUUUAUGACAUUCUUUAAUUGGUGCAUCUACCAAUAUCAUUCUUAAUCAUCUUUCAUACCUCAUCAUUUUAUCACAUACCAACUAUCUCAUCUACCCAUGUUCUACCCAACAUAUUUGUAGAUAUAAAAUACAUAUACAGUUUAACUCAUUUAAAAACUAUAUAAAACAUUCAUUCCAUACUCAUCUCAAAUAAACAACAAUAUAUAAACACAUAGCACGUAUUUUAUAACAAAUACUUCAUAUUUAUGUGUUAGAAGAAAAUAACUACACACUCACACGUAUAAACCACAAUAUACUUAAUACACUCAAACCAUACUUGUAUUAUUAUCGUGUUUAUGAAAGGUAGUAUACACUCACUUGAUCAGAAGAUGAUCGGACAACACUACGACUUGCAGAAGUAGUAUUCUUCGGUAGAUCUGGAAGAUCUCCACAAAAACCGGACUUCUCGCGGGCAGAGCUUCGGCUCGGGAAUCGCACUUCACGGGAUCUCGGGAGCGUAAAACUUCCUUCUUAACCUGGAUAUGA